UGGCUAUGAUUAGAUCUUAUCCGCGCUUCUGAGAUUCUGUCCAUGAAGUAUAACGGAAAAAUGGUUGAAUUUCUUAAUAUGAGCCA